rnacentral:rRNA from 1 species
GUAGGUGGCAAGCGUUGUCCGGAAUUAUUGGGCGUAAAGCGCGCGCAGGUGGUUCUUUAAGUCUGAUGUGAAAGCCCCCGGCUCAACCGGGGAGGGUCAUUGGAAACUGGGGAACUUGAGUGCAGGAGAGGAAAGUGGAAUUCCACGCGUAGCGGUGAAAUGCGUAGAUAUGUGGAGGAACACCAGUGGCGAAGGCGACUUUCUGGCCUGUAACUGACACUGAGGCGCGAAAGCGUGGGGAGCAAACAGGGAUUAGAUACCCUGGUAGUCCACGCCGUAAACGAUGAGUGCUAAGUGUUGGGGGGGUUUCCCGCCCCUCAGUGCUGCAGCUAACGCAUUAAGCACUCCGCCUGGGGAGUACGGUCGCAAGACUG